GACGAACGCUGGCGGCGUGCUUAACACAUGCAAGUCGAACGGAAAGGCCCUGCUUUUGUGGGGUGCUCGAGUGGCGAACGGGUGAGUAACACGUGAGUAACCUGCCCUUGACUUUGGGAUAACUUCAGGAAACUGGGGCUAAUACCGGAUAGGAGCUCCUGCUGCAUGGUGGGGGUUGGAAAGUUUCGGCGGUUGGGGAUGGACUCGCGGCUUAUCAGCUUGUUGGUGGGGUAGUGGCUUACCAAGGCUUUGACGGGUAGCCGGCCUGAGAGGGGUACCGGCGACAUUGCGACUGCGGGACGGCCCAGAAUCCUACGGGAGGCAGCAGUGGGGAGUAUGGCACAAUGGGGGGAAGCGUGAUGCAGAAGCGCCGCGAGCGGGAUAACGGCCUUCGGGUGAUAAACAGAUUUCGCCUGUGACGAAGCGUGCGUGACGGUAAUGAGUAAAGAAGCAACGGCUAACUACGUG
rnacentral:rRNA from 1 species